rnacentral:rRNA from 1 species
UACGAAGGGGGCAAGCGUUGUUCGGAAUUAUUGGGCGUAAAGGGCGCGUAGGCGGUUCGGUAAGUCACCUGUGAAACCUCUGGGCUCAACUCAGAGCCUGCAGGCGAAACUGCCGUGCUGGAGUGUGGGAGAGGUGCGUGGAAUUCCUGGUGUAGCGGUGAAAUGCGCAGAUAUCAGGAAGAACACCCGUGGCUAAGGCGGUUCUCUAGUACGGUACUGACGCUGAGACGCGAAAGCGUGGGGAGCGAACAGG